UGGAAAUCCUUUAACACAGAGUCUUUUUGAAAUAACAUCUCUCCUAGGGCUUGGAACCACCACAUCCAAGUGUCUUCCUUGUUCAAAGUUGAUAAAAUUGGAGUAAUUACUGCAUGGAGAAGACAGUAAUUAAUGAGAGAGAAGGCUGAGGAGCAGAGGACCCAACGCCGAAACUAGGAGUUUGCUUGCCUUUAAGGAACAGAGAGAAAUGAAGAGGCAGCGAGAGAGCCGAGCUCCACCACAGGCCUGGGUGAGACGAGAUCACAGGUAACAGAUUUGACUGGAACGGUGCUGCAAGGGAAACUCCAGCUCCUCCUGGGAUUUAAUCCAUGGAGGGGAAUACGGAGAGGCUGGAACCCAGGCCUACUCAGCAGAAGGCCUACAGAAGGCCUAUAGAGUAGAAUGCUGGGCAAAUCUGUGUGCAGACUGAGGGAACACUGCUGUUUGAGGGCCCACUUGCAAUAUGCCCACUUAAAAUUCAGAUAAUAUUCUAAAUCAAAUAAUAUUAUAAAUAUUAGAUAAUAUUCUAAAUCAAACAUCUAAAAAUAACUUGUGGCACCUAUACUUGUUCAGUAUUUCAGGUAUUCAUGGAUGA